AACUAACGCUGGCGGCGUGCCUAACUCAUGCAAGUCGUACGAGAAAGUCGGCUUCGGUCGAUAAGUAAAGUGGCGCACGGGUGAGUAACACGUGGAUAACCUCCCCUUCAGUCGGGAAUAACCUACCGAAAGGUUUGCUAAUACCCGAUAAUAGCGGUCCAUUCCGAUGGAUCGGUCAAAGAUGGCCUCUGCUUGCAAGCUAUCGCUGAUGGAUGGGUCCGCGUACCAUUAGCUAGUUGGUAGGGUAAUGGCCUACCAAGGCUGUGAUGGUUAGCUGGUCUGAGAGGAUGACCAGCCACACUGGAACUGAGACACGGUCCAGACUCCUACGGGAGGCAGCAGUGAGGAAUAUUGCGCAAUGGGGGAAACCCUGACGCAGCGACGCCGCGUGAGUGAGGAAGGCCUUCGGGUCGUAAAGCUC
rnacentral:rRNA from 1 species